rnacentral:lncRNA from 1 species
UUUCAUAAUUUACGAAAUAACCCUAUCAAAUUUGUAUUUGGCAAGUUAACUCUCGAAACGCGGUGAAUCAUUCACAGCAUUCUGAAAGUCUUUAAGGUUUUUUGAAGGCUGUGAAUCAUUCACCGUCUUCUUCAUAAUUUUUAAAAGACGGUGAAUGAUUCGCCGUCUUCUUCAUAAUUUAUUGGGAAAGAGAAAAAAAAUGAGGUUGUUAAAAUUAUACGUAGAUUAUACGGGAAAUAAAAAAAGUGAGUUUGUUAGGAUUAUGUGUGGAAUAUUAGAAUUUUUGUUUGAUUUUUAGAAUUGCAUAGAUAAAUUAUUAAAAUUUUUUUGAUUGUUAAGAUUAUAUUGAUAUUAUAUUAUGAUUUUCAAAUUGUUAAGAUUAUAUGUGAUGUUUGAUUAUUACGAUUGUAUGAAUAGAUUAUUAGGAUCUUUUUUAUUGUUAGAAUUGUAUGGAUGGAUUGUUAGAAUUUUCAGAUUGUUAAGAUUAUAUGUAAUUUGUUGAAAUAUUUAUGUGUUUAUUAGGAUUAUAAAAAAAAAAAAAUAAACAAGUGAAAGACGAUGAAUCAUUUAGCACUUUUCUAUGAAAUUAGGAAAACGGUGAAGGCGGUAAACCAUUCACCGUCUUUAAGUGAUUAGUUUUUUAAAUAUAAUUUUAGCAAGAUUAUUUCGCAAAUAAUAAAAUUUUAAAACAUCAUUUUAUAAAAAACUCCAUAGAAAUACCCGCAAUA